rnacentral:rRNA from 1 species
UUUAUGGAGAGUUUGAUCCUGGCUCAGGAUGAACGCUGGCGGCGUGCCUAAUACAUGCAAGUCGAGCGAACAGACGAGGAGCUUGCUCCUCUGACGUUAGCGGCGGACGGGUGAGUAACACGUGGAUAACCUACCUAUAAGACUGGGAUAACUUCGGGAAACCGGAGCUAAUACCGGAUAAUAUAUUGAACCGCAUGGUUCAAUAGUGAAAGACGGUUUUGCUGUCA